GAAUGUGUAGCUCAGCCGGAUAGAGCAAUCUCCUCCUAAGAGAUAGGUCGGCGGUUCGAAUCCGCCCACGUUCGCCA
rnacentral:tRNA from 5 species